UAAUAAACGACAUGACAUGAGGGCAAUUGGGAGUAAACUGUAAAGAAAUUCCUAAUUUCAAAACUCAAAAGAGAACAUCUCUCAGUCUCACGGCUCAUAUUCUCAAAUUGCUACUUGCUAGUGUUCAUUCUUGUCUCCGACUCGCCGAGACGUCGAUUCGUGUCGUUAGUCAUCUUUGAAAAUUGCUUGACGCUGGUGCUGGUCGAUCUUUGCCACUGGUCAUGGCAGCCACAAAAGAACUCAAAUCUUGGACUACCAUCCAAACCUCCGCGAUGUGAAUAGAAGAGCAUACAUUCAGAGAGGUGCUUGUCAACCUCGAGAACAUAACUUUCCUCAAACAUAUUUUUAUGGAGUAAUGCGUCGUUUUAAUCCUAAAUGGUUUGUUGAUUAUCAUGGGUGAUUGGAGUAUAGUAUAAGUAACGAUGCAGCAUAUUGUUUGAGUUGUUAUUUGUUUAAAGACGAUAACAUUCAUCAAGGUGGAGGUGAUGUAUUUUCGAGCAUAUGGUUUAAGAGUUGGAAUAAAAAGAAGAGCUUUGAUAAGCAUGUUGGUGGGCCAAGUAGCUUUCAUAACCAAGCAAAAAGGAAAUGUGUAGAUCUACUACGGAAACAACAGUCCACUAUAUAUGCAUUUGAGAAUAAAUCUGAUCAAGUUAAGCAUGAUUACUGGAUCGGUUAAUGUCGUAAGACUUCUUUUGAAGUAAGGAUUUGCAUUUCGGGGUCAUGAUGAAUCUAAAACAUCAUUUAACAGGGGUAAUUUUCUUGAAAUUCUCUCAUGGUAUGUAAAAGAAUGUGAUAAAAUUCAUGAUUAUGUAUUGGCAUAUACUCCUCAAAAUGAUCAGAUGACUUCUCCAAUGAUUCAAAAAGACAUUGUGACUGCAUGUAAGAUGGAAAUAAUUAAAUCUAUCAUUAAAGAAUUAAAUGGUGA